CCUACGGGAGGCUGCAGUGGGGGAUAUUGGACAAUGGGGGGAACCCUGAUCCAGCGACGCCGCGUGAGUGAAGAAGUAUUUCGGUAUGUAAAGCUCUGUCAGCAGGGAAGAAAGAAAUGACGGUACCUGACCAAGAAGCCCCGGCUAACUACGUGCCAGCAGCCGCGGGAAUACGUAGGGGGCAAGCGUUAUCCGGAAUUACUGGGUGUAAAGGGAGCGUAGACGGUUAAGUAAGUCUGGAGUGAAAGGCCGGGGCCCAACCCCGGGACUGCUCUGGAAACUAUUGAACUUGAGUGCAGGAGAGGUAAGCGGAAUUCCUAGUGUAGCGGUGAAAUGCGUAGAUAUUAGGAGGAACACCAGUGGCGAAGGCGGCUUACUGGACUGUAACUGACGUUGAGGCUCGAAAGCGUGGGGAGCAAACAGGAUUAGAUACCCUGGUAGUC
rnacentral:rRNA from 1 species